rnacentral:lncRNA from 1 species
UCGGCCGGCGGCCGCCAAGUUUGUGUGGCCUUUUGCGGAAAUCCCUGAGCGGUCAGCCGGGCUCCGGACCCGUCUGUAAAUGGGAAACUCCCGCGGGGAAGGAGGAGCCGGGAGGGAGCGACUGUCCACCGUGGCCCGGGACGAGCGUCUCCCGGGGGCAGCGCUGGCCUUGUGAGCAUCAUGCGUGGCCCUUUCUGACCCAGGUGAGCGAAUCCCCUCCGCACGGUCCGGCGGGGCGGCCUGCGGCCGCGAAGACAGGUGCACAGAGUUGGGGAUGCGGCGGCUGCCCAGGGCGGCGCGGCGUGGGUUGGCUCCUGUCGUCAGAGCGCUUGUUCUUUCCUGCCCGGAUCACCUAUUCGGCGGAGACCUCGCAGCUUGUUCGGCACCUUCGCAGGCUGCCGGGUUGAACACCCCCGUUUCAGAGGCGAUGGCAGGCAAAUGUACUUGCCUUUUCCCACAGAGGAGAGGUUGUAUGACCCCAGAAGACUGCUCUUUAUUAGCCUUGCUAUCCUCUGUGUGCCUGCAGACUUACUGAAACAGUA